CUGAAGUGAUGAAAACACAAU
rnacentral:siRNA from 1 species